AUUGAACGCUGGCGGCAGGCCUAACACAUGCAAGUCGAGCGGAUGAAGGGAGCUUGCUCCUGGAUUCAGCGGCGGACGGGUGAGUAAUGCCUAGGAAUCUGCCUGGUAGUGGGGGAUAACGUCCGGAAACGGGCGCUAAUACCGCAUACGUCCUGAGGGAGAAGGUGGGGGAUCUUCGGACCUCACGCUAUCAGAUGAGCCUAGGUCGGAUUAGCUAGUUGGUGGGGUAAAGGCCUACCAAGGCGACGAUCCGUAACUGGUCUGAGAGGAUGAUCAGUCACACUGGAACUGAGACACGAUCCAGACUCCUACGGGAGGCAGCAGUGGGGAAUAUUGGACAAUGGGCGAAAGCCUGAUCCAGCCAUGCCGCGUGUGUGAAGAAGGUCUUCGGAUUGUAAAGCACUUUAAGUUGGGAGGAAGGGCAGUAAGUUAAUACCUUGCUGUUUUGACGUUACCAACAGAAUAAGCACCGGCUAACUUCGUG
rnacentral:rRNA from 1 species